AAUAGGCCACGGGCAGGGCUGCUUUAUAGCGAUCAGCUGGGAGCAGUUGGGGCCGAGCCCUUCAUGUCUCGGGCUGUCCACACUCCAAGCGCGGUGCGGGCGCCCAGGCCUCCAUCUUGCAUCUCACUGUGAGCCCGGCGCUUGCGCACACAGCUUGCCUGCUAUGCUGAGGGGUGGGUGCAGCCGCUUGCCACGAGGAGGAGCUCUGGUCUGAAGCCCCUGGUGCGAGGUCUCUGCUCAGACCACCCUGUGAGCAAGUGAAACUCAACCAAGCACGAAGGAAAGAAAGGACCACGCCCAUAGCAUAUGGAAGUUCUCAGGCUAGGGACUGAAUCAGAGCUGCAGCUGCCGGCCUACACCACAGCCACAGCAAAGCUGGAUCCUUAACCAACCGAGUGAGACCAGGGAUUGAAUCCUCAUCCUCAUGCAUACUAGUCAGGUUCGUUAUUACUGAACCACAAUGGGAACUCCUACAUAACUAAUUUUUUAAAGAGGCUCUUAAAAGCCAAUUUCACAUUUUCUAGAAUGUAGAGCUAGAAGGAACCUUCCAGAAUGCCUCAUUAUUUCCCUUUUGUACCCUUAUUCUGCUGAUGAAGAGAUAAAAGUGAUAGUUGACAUUUCUUGCUCAAGUUUAUGCCACAUGUUGAUGGCAGAGUCAGGGUGGGGGCUCUGAGUAAUUGUGGAUUUGCAACUGAGGAGUUUUUCCAUUUGAUCAAACCAUAGCCGGACCACCAUUCCUUUAUAUCACUUUUGUUAAGUGAUAAGGUUGUCUCAGUAAAUGGAACUGAAUAAAACAUUAGGAAUUGCAUGAGGUGAUACUGGAAAUGUAAGGGUCUGUGUAAUUGUGUUUGGCAAAUUUUAACAGUGGUAAUAUAUCAAGAUUUUAAUUUGCUUGGUGAUGUAUCUGUUCACCCAUAAGGUAGGUCUGGCUUGAGGUUUAUAUGAUUUACUAUUGCUGGUGAUCACUUCAAUUCUAUUCCUGAUGUAUUUACAGAAAUUCAGAAACAGGUGUUUGUGAUUUAGCAAUGUCUCCAGCAUCUAAUUUGGUAUGCAAGUUAGGAGGUCAUGUAUCAUAUUUAUGGGAACUCCAUUACAUUCAUAAUAGGGUGAAUAUCCUCCCUGGGCAACAUCUUAAAGUUUAUCAGGAAAAUUAUUGUAUAAAUUUCCCUGAUAAUAAAUUAUUUGUAUUCUUGGCCAUGUAUGUGAAAGUUUGUAAUUUCAAAUUUAACUUUCUUUUCCCCACCUUGUUCUUUCUGAGUCAUCUUGCUUUUUGAGAAGGAAAACAUUGAAUAGCUUUUUCUUUUUAAAUUUUCAGCUUUGUCUUCCAGCACCCCAGUGGUGGGAGAUAACGAUUUAAGUGUUUGGAAGCCAAGUUAAGUGAAAAUCUUAUUGGCACCUCGGGAGAGAGGCCAAUAGGACACCGAGUGAAGCCUAAAUAAUGCUGCAGGAUGUUGGGAUAAAGAGCUGGUUUAGUCUCCUGGGUUUGUAGACAUUGUUUUUGCUUCAGGGCUGUGAACAAGAUGCUAAAAUACAUUGCUGAUCCCUUGCCUCUGGGAGCUACAUCAGGGCUUAAACUUGAUUGAAGCACCCAACACCUGGAAAUAUUUUUAUCCUCUUCACUCCAGGCUGGAUUUGAACUGCUGACUUGGAGGCGAAAUGUUCUACAGCCCAAAUCCAAUCCAUGGAGCCAAUUAAGCUCCUUCCUCAUACAUUUCUUUGUGCUCUGUUUUGAAAAGAGAUUUUUAAGUGAUCUUAAGGAAAAAUAGGAUGUUGUUUCUACGGUUACCAUUGAUGGAAAUAUUGAUGUGAUGUAGUUUGUCUAGAGUUUUUCUCUUUUGUUAAAUAAAAAGCGUAAAUUAGCCUGUGUAUGUAAACCAAAAACAAAAAGGUAGGCCAAAAUCAAAAGAGGCGAUCAUUUGGUUAUACAUUUUUGCACAAAAGAAACAGAUAAAUUUUCUCAAAAGACUUGGCAGCCGUGCUAUUCAUAAAUGUGUGUUCAACAGAUAGUCUAGUUGCCUCACUUGUAGCUGGAGGACAUGCUGGUCCUUUCACAUCAUUUACCCAUUUGCUGAGUUUUUGAGUAGACAGUGAGACUGUAUUUCAAACCCGAGGAUUGCUUGCCAUAAACAUGGCUUCUGUCUCCCUGACAAAUGUUUUAUUAUCCCUUCUGUCUGGAUUCCUACUUUGUUCAGUCAGUUGUGUGUCUUUGUAGAGUUCAUAAGUUUCAAUGAUGGUUCUCAGAAUAUUUUUUAAACACUUCAGUUAAAAUAGCUCUUCAAAAAUCAACUAGUAUUUUCUAUAUUUCUUUAUGAGUGAAGAUGAUAAACUGGACACAGUUCUGUGACUUCUGUGCACUGGAAUAUAAUAAUUUAUGUCUGUACAGCAUUUCUCUUUCAUGCAUAUCAAUGCACAAGUUACAGUCACUUGGUUACAUGGGUAAAGCAUUCAUUCAUUCAUUCAUUCUUUCAUUUGCAUUUACUUGUUCAUAUACUUAUUGAGUACUGAUAGGUCAGGCAUUGAGCUAGGUUCCAGGUAUAAGAAAUAUGAAAAACACCAUCCUUGUCUUCUAGAAGCUUCUAGAUGGUCCCUUCUUAUGGGAGCUAAAGUAAUUUAAUACUGUAAAUUGUCUAUACAAAGUGUAGAUGGGGAGCAGGGACAGGUUGCUAAAGCUGGAUUGGAUGAACAGGAAAAUAUUUCAAAAAGAAGAAGAAUUUAGAGUAAGAUAUGAAAAGAAAAAUGUUUUUCACACAGAUUGAGGGAGGAUAUUGACACUAGAGUACUAUGACCAUGGUUGUAUAGAUGAGGAAACUAAGAUUAAAAGACUUUUCAAGGUCAUGAGGAUGGUAGAAGAGAUUUCAGGUACUUGGACUGAGAUGUUUCAUUCUGUUGCCAUUGCACUCCACUACACCAAUCAACACUUCAUAGAGACUUUUCAAAUCUUCAUAAUUCUAUAAAGCAAGAGGUAUAUACGAUUACCUUUUUUUGGGGGGGGCGGAGGUUGAGGGCUGCACCUGCAGUAUGUAAAAAUUCCCGAGCCAGGGAUUGAACCCUAGCCACUGAAAUGACAAUGCCAGGUCCUUAACCUGCUGCAUCACAUGGGAACUCCAAGGUCAUCUUGCUUGAGCAUGAGAAGGCAUUUAAAAUCUUGGGGAGAGAGAGAGGAGUUCCCGUCAUGGCUCAGUGGUUAACAUAUCAGACUAGGAACCAUGAGGUUGCGGGUUCGAUCCCUGGCCUUGCUCAGUGGGUUAAAGAUCCCGCAUUGCUGUGGCUGUGGUGUAGGCCGGCAGCUACAGCUCCGAUUAGACUCCUAGCCUGGGAACCUCCAUAUGCUGCAGAAGCAGUCCUAGAAAAGGCCAAAAAAAAAAAAAAAAAAAAAA
rnacentral:lncRNA from 1 species